rnacentral:rRNA from 1 species
GUGCCAGCAGCCGCGGUAAUUCCAGCUCCAAUAGCGUAUAUUAAAGUUGUUGUGGUUAAAAAGCUCGUAGUUGAACCUUGGGCCUGGCUGGCCGGUCCGCCUCACCGCGUGCACUGGUCCGGCCGGGCCUUUCCCUCUGUGGAACCCCAUACCCUUCACUGGGCGUGGCGGGGAAACAGGACAUUUACUUUGAAAAAAUUAGAGUGCUCCAGGCAGGCCUAUGCUCGAAUACAUUAGCAUGGAAUAAUAAAAUAGGACGCGCGGUUCUAUUUUGUUGGUUUAUAGGACCGCCGUAAUGAUUAAUAGGGACAGUCGGGGGCAUCAGUAUUCAACUGUCAGAGGUGAAAUUCUUGGAUCAGUUGAAGACUAACUACUGCGAAAGCAUUUGCCAAGGAUGUUUUCAUUAAUCAGGAACGAAAGUUAGGGGAUCGAAGACGAUCAGAUACCGUCGUAGUCUUGACCAUAAACUAUGCCGACUAGGGAUCGGACGGUGUUAUUCAUGACCCGUUCGGCACCUUACGAGAAAUCAAAGUGCUUGGGCUCCAGGGGGAGUAUGGUCGCAAGGCUGAAACUUAAAGAAAUUGACGGAAGGGCACCACCAGGGGUGGAGCCUGCGGCUUAAUUUGACUCAACACGGGGAAACUCACCAGGUCCAGACACAAUAAGGGAUUGACAGAUUGAGAGCUCUUUUCUUGAUUUUGUGGGUGGUGUGCAUGGACCGUUCUUAGUUGGUGGGGUGACUUGUCUGCUUAAUUGCGAUAACGAACGAGACCUUAACCUGCUAAAUAGCCCGCAUUGCUUCGGCAGUGCGCUGGCUUCUUAGGAG